UCCCCUGCCUCAGCCUCCUGAAUAGUGCAGAGGGUCUUCACAGAGCCCGGCUGUCUCGAAAGUCAUUACGUAGACCAGGCUGACCUUGAACUCAGAGAUAUGCCUGCCUUCCCUGGUGCCAAAUUAAAGGUGUGCACUACACCCUGGCAAUUAAUCUUUUUUGAGACAGGGGUAGCCUAGACUAACUUGUGACUCAUACUGCCCCCACCUCCUCAGUGCUGGGGUAGACCCCAAGUCCCUAGCAGCACUCUGAAGCAUUUGGUCAGGAGCACCUGGACCACCAGUAGUCUGUGUGACUGCUGCUGGACCCUGUUUUAUUUAAAAUGUGUCUCCUGGAAUAUACUGUAUGAACCAGC